UCCUUGUACGACUGCUAAUGAACCUUCUCGCCACAUGUGGGCAUGAAUGAAUGAUUGUGCGAGACUCUGUGCUUAGUAAUGUGCCACCCCUUGUCUGAUGUGUGGAAAGUCGAACCAAUGUUGGGUAUUCACAGCGGCAAGACAUAAUGUUCUCCUAUGUAGGCCUCUCCUGUGCGGAUAUAAAUUUCCAUUAUCAGCACCGGUGAACCUGAACUUGAUUCUAUACCAACCCAGUUAAGAUACAGAGCAACCACAAACUUUUUUUGCAAGCAUUUCAUCUUCUCUGUGUUUAGCUGACUUUUUUCAUAGUGAAUUAUAAAACCAUGCUCCCAGAAAUACAAGUUAUAUAAAUCAUAUGGCUCUCCUAAUGAAUCAAAUGGAUGAAAAGCUCAAGAACAUGGUCACCCAACUUGUCUGUGUACCCUGAUUGGCUCUUCUCAAGUGCACAACCCUCUCCGGACAUGGGGUCCUAUCCGGUGGAUGACUCUCCCUACUCCAGUNN
rnacentral:lncRNA from 1 species